GACGAACGCUGGCGGCGUGCUUAACACAUGCGAGUCGAACGGAAAGGCCCUGCUUUUGUGGGGUGCUCGAGUGGCGAACGGGUGAGUAACACGUGAGUAACCUGCCCUUGACUUUGGGAUAACUUCAGGAAACUGGGGCUAAUACCGGAUAGGAGCUCCUGCUGCAUGGUGGGGGUUGGAAAGUUUCGGCGGUCGGGGAUGGACUCGCGGCUUAUCAGCUUGUUGGUGGGGUAGUGGCUUACCAAGGCUUUGACGGGUAGCCGGCCUGAGAGGGUGACCGGCCACAUUGGGACUGAGAUACGGCCCAGACUCCUACGGGAGGCAGCAGUGGGGAAUAUUGCACAAUGGGCGGAAGCCUGAUGCAGCAACGCCGCGUGCGGGAUGAAGGCCUUCGGGUUGUAAACCGCUUUCGCCUGUGACGAAGCGUGAGUGACGGUAAUGGGUAAAGAAGCACCGGCUAACUACGUG
rnacentral:rRNA from 1 species